GGUCCCAUAGCUCAGUUGGUUAGAGCGUCGUACUAAUAUUAUAGCAACCCGCCUGUAAUGUCAGUGAAUGCGAAGGCCGUGAGUUCAAGCCUCACUGGGACCA